AUGAACGCUGGCGACGUGCCUAAUACAUGCAAGUAGCACGCUGAAGCUUGGUGCUUGCACCGAGCGGAUGAGUUGCGAACGGGUGAGUAACGCGUAGGUAACCUGCCUCUUAGCGGGGGAUAACUAUUGGAAACGAUAGCUAAUACCGCAUAAAAGUCGAUAUCGCCUGAUAUUGAUUUGAAAGGUGCAAUUGCAUCACUAAGAGAUGGACCUGCGUUGUAUUAGCUAGUUGGUGAGGUAACGGCUCACCAAGGCGACGAUACAUAGCCGACCUGAGAGGGUGAUCGGCCACACUGGGACUGAGACACGGCCCAGACUCCUACGGGAGGCAGCAGUAGGGAAUCUUCGGCAAUGGGGGCAACCCUGACCGAGCAACGCCGCGUGAGUGAAGAAGGUUUUCGGAUCGUAAAGCUCUGUUGUAAGAGAAGAACGAGUGUGAGAGUGGAAAGUUCACACUGUGACGGUAACUUACCAGAAAGGGACGGCUAACUACGUG
rnacentral:rRNA from 1 species